AACAGUUUCAACAUCAGAAAAAGAGUCAUUGGAAGAAUCGAUAAAGCCUAUUGAUGAUGGCUGUGCUAUUAGGUUUGAAUCCCUUCUUGCUUCUAAACUUUUAUGGAGUGAUCGAUCACGCGUGGAGAAGGGAGAUCUUACGUUGGGAUAAUCAAUGAAUCAAUUUAAAGAGGGGGCAUUUUUCACGUCAGGUCUGAUGCAAAUCAUUAGAUACCAGUGAUCAAAUCCAAAGAUUUUCUGUUUUCAGUCCGAUCCCAUUGCCGCCUUGAACUUUUCAAUUCAAGACAAAGGUCAUUGGAAAAGACAAAGGUUCUUAGAAGCGAUCCUACCAUUGGAGCAGUCGACUCGAGCAGUGUUGAGGCAUUGGAGAACAUUGAAGACCCACGAAGCCACGAUAGCACUCAUGAAAUCUUUGAGAAGGAAGUGAAAAUUAAUCAAAGGAAGUGAUUAAUCAGGAUUCGCACAAACCCUAGCCGAGAAGAAAACAAACCCUAAUUUCAGAUCUUUGGGAGUCCGUUUAUACUUGGGUUUUCUCCGUACCGCCUAAGAACCCAUCCUUUCAUCUUGGAUCGUCGGCAAUUUUUUUCUCUAAUGAGGAAGUGGAACGAUCUGAAUUCCCAUUCCAAUAUUCGUUGAUUGCUAAGUGUUCUUAUGGAAGACCAUCAAUAUUCAAUGGUAAAAGCUUCUUGCAAUCGAAUUUCCACCUAAACGCUGAUGUGGGUGUGACUAGCCUGGAUCAACGAUGCCUUUUGCUCAGAUUCUUGGAUCACAUGGAUUUUAUUACGGUCUGGUUGAAAGAACAUAUUUCCAUCAAGGGGUUUUCGUUUCGAUUAUUCAAGUGGUCCAAAAACUUCAGGUUCUGAAUCUCCGAUAGUGCCGGUUUGGGUUUCUUUCCCCAACCUCCCAGUGAAUUUUUACCAAGGAAAUUAUUUCUUAUCAGUCACAGAAGCGGUUGAAAAGUUUUGAAGGUUGAUAGUGCAACAUCUGGGUGCACUUGAAACGGUUGCCGCCAGGGCCUGUGUUGAGAUUGAUCUUCGGGAGAACCACCCUAGCCAUAUCUGGAUUGGUUGUGGUUCAACUGGUUUCAUCCAAAAGGUGGUCUAUGAAAAAAAAACCCUUAUUUUGCCAGGGUUGCUCGAAGUUAGGACAUAUAAUUGACAAGGUAAUGCUCCCGCAAUUCAAAAGCAAGUGGCGACAAAGGGUGUUACGGCUCCGACGCUAUAUACUUUUGUGGCUGGGAACGAUAAGGCGGUAGAGACUGUUACUACUAUGGAUAAUGUUAUGGUUGGCAUUACCAACGUUGAAGGUGGUGAAGGAAGGCUAUCUCCCCUGAUUAUUGGCUCCAAUAUUCCAGUUCAUGAAACUAGUCCUAAUAAUGGGAUUGAAACUACUAGUAUAGAUCUGCAUGGCCCUGUUCAUGUUGAUUAAUUAAUCACUUCUAAUGUCGCUUCGAGUAGUCGUUGGAGGCCCACUGAUAGACAUUUUGAGGUUUCUAUGAGAGAUAUUGUAGAGGAAAAUAGUGAGGGCCUUGAGGACACCACAUAUGUUCAACCAAACGAAUCUGAAGAUGGAGACAAUGAUUUACGCA